rnacentral:rRNA from 1 species
CGCCCUUAGAGUUUGAUCCUGGCUCAGGAUGAACGCUGGCGGCGUGCCUAACACAUGCAAGUCGAAGGGACUCAUAUUGAAACCUAGUGAUUUAUGAGUUAGUGGCGGACGGGUGAGUAACGCGUGGAAAACCUGCCGUAUACCGGGGGAUAACACUUAAAAAUAGGUGCUAAUACCGCAUAAGCGCACAGCUUCGCAUGAAGCAGUGUGAAAAACUCCGGUGGUAUAUGAUGGUUCCGCGUCUGAUUAGCUAGUUGGCGGGGUAACGGCCCACCAAGGCAGCGAUCAGUAGCCGGCCUGAGAGGGUGAACGGCCACAUUGGGACUGAGACACGGCCCAAACUCCUACGGGAGGCAGCAGUGGGGAAUAUUGCACGGUGGGGGAAACCCUGAUGCAGCGACGCCGCGUGAGUGAAGAAUUAUUUCGGUACGUAAAGCUCUAUCAGCAGGGAAGAAGAUGACGGUACCUGACUAAGACGCCCCGGCUAACUACGUGCCAGCAGCCGCGGUAAUACGUAGGGGGCAAGCGUUAUCCGGAUUUACUGGGUGUAAAGGGAGCGUAGACGGCAGCGCAAGUCUGGAGUGAAAUGCCGGGGCCCCAACCCCCGGAACUGUUUUGGAAACCUGUGCAGCUUGAGUGGCGGGGGAAGGUAAUUGUAAUUUCCUAGUGUACCGGUGAAAUGCGAAAUAUUAAGGAAGCAACCCUUUUGGCGAAGG